CCUCAAAUCAGGUAGGAUCACCCGCUGAACUUAAGCAUAUCAAUAAGCGGAGGAAAAGAAACUAACAAGGAUUCCCCUAGUAACUGCGAGUGAAGCGGGAAAAGCUCAAAUUUAAAAUCUGGUAGUCUUCGACUAUCCGAGUUGUAAUCUAGAGAAGCGUCAUCCGUGCUGGACCGUGUACAAGUCUCCUGGAAUGGAGCGUCACAGAGGGUGAGAAUCCCGUCUUUGACACGGACUGCCAGGACAUUGUGAUGCGCUCUCAAAGAGUCGAGUUGUUUGGGAAUGCAGCUCUAAAUGGGUGGUAAAUUCCAUCUAAAGCUAAAUAUUGGCGAGAGACCGAUAGCGAACAAGUACCGUGAGGGAAAGAUGAAAAGAACUUUGAAAAGAGAGUUAAACAGUACGUGAAAUUGUUGAAAGGGAAACGCUUGAAGUCAGUCGCGUCCUUCAGAAAUCAACCUGACCUUGGUCUGGCUUACUUUCUGGUGGAUGGGUCAGCAUCAAUUUUGAUCAUUGGAUAAAGGCCUUGGGAAAGUGGCAUCUCCAGAUGUGUUAUAGCCUUUGGUUCAUAUACAGUGGUUGGGAUUGAGGAACUCAGUGUGAACUUGGGGCUUUGGCCUCACACGCACUUAGGAUGCUGGCAUAAU
rnacentral:rRNA from 1 species